ACCCAGUGUGAUUCGUCACACUAUCAUUAACUGAAUCCAUAGGUUAAUGAGGCGAACCGGGGGAACUGAAACAUCUAAGUACCCCGAGGAAAAGAAAUCAACCGAGAUUCCCCCAGUAGCGGCGAGCGAACGGGGAGCAGCCCAGAGCCUGAAUCAGUGUGUGUGUUAGUGGAAGCGUCUGGAAAGGCGCGCGAUACAGGGUGACAGCCCCGUACACAAAAAUGCACAUACUGUGAGCUCGAUGAGUAGGGCGGGACACGUGGUAUCCUGUCUGAAUAUGGGGGGACCAUCCUCCAAGGCUAAAUACUCCUGACUGACCGAUAGUGAACCAGUACCGUGAGGGAAAGGCGAAAAGAACCCCGGCGAGGGGAGUGAAAAAGAACCUGAAACCGUGUACGUACAAGCAGUGGGAGCCUCUUUAUGGGGUGACUGCGUACCUUUUGUAUAAUGGGUCAGCGACUUAUAUUCUGUAGCAAGGUUAACCGAAUAGGGGAGCCGAAGGGAAACCGAGUCUUAACUGGGCGUUAAGUUGCAGGGUAUAGACCCGAAACCCGGUGAUCUAGCCAUGGGCAGGUUGAAGGUUGGGUAACACUAACUGGAGGACCGAACCGACUAAUGUUGAAAAAUUAGCGGAUGACUUGUGGCUGGGGGUGAAAGGCCAAUCAAACCGGGAGAUAGCUGGUUCUCCCCGAAAGCUAUUUAGGUAGCGCCUCGUGAAUUCAUCUCCGGGGGUAGAGCACUGUUUCGGCAAGGGGGUCAUCCCGACUUACCAACCCGAUGCAAACUGCGAAUACCGGAGAAUGUUAUCACGGGAGACACACGGCGGGUGCUAACGUCCGUCGUGAAGAGGGAAACAACCCAGACCGCCAGCUAAGGUCCCAAAGUCAUGGUUAAGUGGGAAACGAUGUGGGAAGGCCCAGACAGCCAGGAUGUUGGCUUAGAAGCAGCCAUCAUUUAAAGAAAGCGUAAUAGCUCACUGGUCGAGUCGGCCUGCGCGGAAGAUGUAACGGGGCUAAACCAUG
rnacentral:rRNA from 1 species